rnacentral:snRNA from 1 species
GGAUGUGAAGGUGAUCUGGCUGUGACAUCUGUCACCCCACUGAUCGCCAGGGUUGAUUCCGCUGCCCUGGCUGGCUAGGCAGGCGUCCCCUUCCUCCCUCAGCGCUCCAUGUGCGUCCCCCACUCUUGGUUGAAGAGGACGACCUUCCCCAAUAGAGGAGGACCGUUCUUCGGUCAAAGGUAUACGAGUAGCUGCACUCCCCUGCUACUCGUCUACCCUGCUAGAACCUCCAAAUAAGCUCUCAAGAUAUUUGAGAAUUAUCAAAAUAUAUUAUUAA